UCUUUUUCUAAAUAUGGUGAUUCUCUCACGUAGGAAAAACUACAAAAGCCGUGGAACCUGCGCAGUUUGGCAUCAGUAUACAUCUUGUCUUUGUUGAGCGGAGUCGAAUAACAUAUACAACGCUUUGAUCAUGCAUUUCACGCGUUUCGCGGUUUUCUUUUUCACCGUAUUGUCCUUGGCUGUAUUGAUUGCUGCAAAACCGCAAUCUGAUAUUCAAAGUACCUUAGAUAAAGUAGCCCAGGUUUUUAAUUCACGUGAUGGAUGCGUUUGGAAAGGAACAUCUCCAUUUUGCGAUGGAGGUUGCAACGUAAAGGGUCAUGUUGUUCGUGACACAAGCACAACUGGGGAUGGAGAAAGAUGUUUGACUGGCAUCAAAGUACUUUGCUGCCCUUCUGCUCUACCUGGCCUUUAAAGUAACUAGCGAAGUGGUUAGACCUCGCAUCAUAAAACCAACGGGAGUGACUCACUCAUACUUCAGUCACUUUUGUUGCAUCACCAACUGUACAUCUUUAGAAAAUUAAUAAAUAGUUAAAUGUUCAA